AACUAGCACAUAUGUCAAAUUCCCGGCGGGUCAGAAUCAUAUUCGCUGGUGCCGAAAUUGUGCUGAAAUUGACCUUGAGAAGAAUUCCCGUCCGUAUAUCGGAUGUAUAGCGUACUUGUUAACCGUGGACUUGGCGCUGGAACUUUUUCCGACAUUC
rnacentral:snoRNA from 1 species